rnacentral:lncRNA from 1 species
GCUGCCCCUCCUAAGCUCGGUGCUUUGCUAUCUACACGGCUCGGGACGCACAGCCCUGUUAGUGGAGGAUUUCCUCCUGUAACGUUUUGCUCCUCUCCAUGGAGAGCCGCUGCAGGUCCUUCUUGACGUCGGGGUGGUCCUCCAGCUCCUCGUACAGCGAGCGCACGAUGUCCAGCUUCCGGUAGUCCCCCGGCCGGACCAGGCUGCGCACCACCUGCAGGCACCGCUCCUUCAGCGUGAACACUGCGGGGAAACAGACAGAGCGCGGGCAGCUGGGCGCCGUGCUGCGAGGGGAUGCAGCCCGGGGCAGGAGGGCACAGAUAACCCGGCGGCGUUACUCGGAGCCUGCGCGGGUCGCUCUGCAAGUAACGCAUCCUAUCUAUCUCCACGGGAACUACAGCGGAUAGAAAGAUCACAGUGACGCCGGUGGACAGAGCGGACUCUCAGCUACAGAACGUUAUUUCCGGACGCAUCCACCGGCGCGAGCUGCGCGUUUUCUCCGGCGGUGAACGCGAACCCCCACGCCGCGCCGCCCCGCAGCGCCCCGCACCUGGCAGCGUGAUGUCGGCCUUGUUGACGUCCGGCGCGGCCACGAACAGCUCCUGCCGGUUGACGAGCAGCCCGUCGUGCGUGCCCGCGUCGCGGAACAGCCACAGGUGCCCGCGGUAGCUGUGCAUGAUCCGCCCGGUGCGCGGCCGCAGCACGGGGUAGUAGCGCGGCCGGCCCUCGAAGUCCACCCAGAUGGGGAGCACGGCGCGCGGGCUGCGGUUGUUGAAGACGACCUCGGAGAGUUCGCGCGUGUUGGCGGAGCGCAGGCACGGCCCGGCGGGACCCGGACCCGGCGGCGCCAUCCCGGCUGCGCGGCCCCG